rnacentral:tRNA from 1 species
GACCCUGUGGCCAAGUGGUAAAGGCGUCCGCGUUGCAACCGGGAAGACGUCAGUUCGAAUCUGACCAGGGUCUCAA